rnacentral:rRNA from 1 species
CACGUAAGAAUCUACCUUUAGGACGGGGAUAACUUCUGGAAACGGAUGCUAAUACCCGAUAUGCUGUGGAGUGAAAUGAAUUUCGCCUAAAGAUGAUCUUGCGUCUGAUUAGCUAGGUAGGGUGGUAAUGGCGCCCUAUGGCGACGAUCAGUAGCUGGUCUGAGAGGAUGGACAGCCACAUUGGGGCUGAGACACGGACCAGACUCCUACGGGAGGCGGCAGUGAGGAAUAUUGGACAAUGGAGGCAACUCUGAUCCAGCCAUGCCGCGUGCAGGAAGACUGCUCUAUGGGUUGUAAACU